rnacentral:rRNA from 1 species
GAUGAACGCUGGCGGCGUGCCUAAUACAUGCAAGUCGAGCGAACAGACGAGGAGCUUGCUCCUCUGACGUUAGCGGCGGACGGGUGAGUAACACGUGGAUAACCUACCUAUAAGACUGGGAUAAUUUCGGGAAACCGGAGCUAAUACCGGAUAAUAUAUUGAACCGCAUGGUGCAAUAGUGAAAGACGGCUUUGCUGUCACUUAUAGAUGGAUCCGCGUCGCAUUAGCUAGUUGGUAAGGUAACGGCUUACCAAGGCAACGAUGCGUAGCCGAACUGAGAGGAUGAUCGGCCACACUGGAACUGAGACACGGUCCAGACUCCUACGGGAGGCAGCAGUAGGGAAUCUUCCGCAAUGGGCGAAAGCUUGACGGAGCCAUACCGCGUGAGUGAAGAAGGUCUUCGGAUCGUAAAACUCUGUUGUUAGGGAAGAACAAAUGCAGAAUAAACUAUGCACGUCUUGACGGUACCUAAACAAAAAGCCACGGCUAACUACGUG